GAACGAACGCUGGCGGCAGGCCUAACACAUGCAAGUCGAGCGAGACCUUCGGGUCUAGCGGCGGACGGGUGAGUAACGCGUGGGAAUAUGCCCUUUGGUACGGAAUAGCCUCGGGAAACUGAGAGUAAUACCGUAUGUGCCCUUCGGGGGAAAGAUUUAUCGCCAAAGGAUUAGCCCGCGUUGGAUUAGGUAGUUGGUGGGGUAAUGGCCUACCAAGCCUACGAUCCAUAGCUGGUUUGAGAGGAUGAUCAGCCACACUGGGACUGAGACACGGCCCAGACUCCUACGGGAGGCAGCAGUGGGGAAUCUUAGACAAUGGGGGCAACCCUGAUCUAGCCAUGCCGCGUGAGUGAUGAAGGCCUUCGGGUCGUAAAGCACUUUUUGGAGGGAAUAGGAAGGAAGGUACCUCCAGAAUAAGUCUCGGCUAACUACGUGCCAGCAGCCGCGGUAACACGUAGGAGGCAAACGUUAUCCGGAUUCACUGGGCGUAAAGCGCGUGUAGGUGGUUCUGUAAGUAGGGCGUGAAAGCUCCCGGCUCAACUGGGAGAGGCCGUACUAAACUGCAGAGCUAGAGGAUGGUAGAGGGAGGUGGAAUUCCAGGUGUAGUGGUGAAAUGCGCAGAUAUCUGGAGGAACACCAGUGGCGAAGGCGGCCUCCUGGACCAUUCCUGACACUCAGACGCGAAAGCUAGGGUAGCAAACGGAAUUAGAGACUCCGGUAGUCCUAGCCCUAAACGAUGCAGACUAGGCGUCGGCGGUUUAAUCACCGUCGGUGUCCAAGCUAACGCGAUAAGUCUGCCGCCUGAGGACUACGGCCGCAAGGCUAAAACUCAAAGGAAUUGACGGGUCCCCGCACAAGCAGCGGAGCGUGUGGUUUAAUUCGAUGCUCCGCGAAAAACCUUACCUGGGUUUGACAUAACAGUGGUAGAGAAGUGAAAACGGACCGACCCCUCGGGGAGCUGUUACAGGUGUUGCAUGGCUGUCGUCAGCUCGUGUCGUGAGAUGUUCGGUUAAGUCCGCUAACGAGCGCAACCCGCGCUGUGUGUUACAAGUGUCACACAGUACCGCCGGUAUUAAGUCGGAGGAAGGUGCGGAUGACGUCAAGUCAGCAUGACCUUUAUAUCCAGGGCUACACACACGCUACAAUGGUCAGAACAAUAGGUUGCCAAGCCGCAAGGCGGAGCCAAUCCUCCAAAUCUGGCCUCAGUUCAGAUUGCAGGCUGCAACUCGCCUGCAUGAAGUCGGAGUUGCUAGUAACCGCAGGUCAGCAUACUGCGGUGAAUACGUUCCCGGGGAU
rnacentral:rRNA from 1 species